rfam:Tauraco erythrolophus contig70677, whole genome shotgun sequence.
GCACAGGUUUUUUAAAAAAACCACCCUUUUUUUAAAGAAAUUUUUGU